rnacentral:rRNA from 1 species
UCGUAACAAGGUCUCCGUUGGUGAACCAGCGGAGGGAUCAUUACUGAGUUUACGCUCUAUAACCCUUUGUGAACAUACCUAUAACUGUUGCUUCGGCGGGUAGGGUCUCCGCGACCCUCCCGGCCUCCCGCCUCCGGGCGGGUCGGCGCCCGCCGGAGGAUAACCAAACUCUGAUUUAACGACGUUUCUUCUGAGUGGUACAAGCAAAUAAUCAAAACUUUUAACAACGGAUCUCUUGGUUCUGGCAUCGAUGAAGAACGCAGCGAAAUGCGAUAAGUAAUGUGAAUUGCAGAAUUCAGUGAAUCAUCGAAUCUUUGAACGCACAUUGCGCCCGCCAGCAUUCUGGCGGGCAUGCCUGUUCGAGCGUCAUUUCAACCCUCAAGCUCUGCUUGGUGUUGGGGCCCUACAGCUGAUGUAGGCCCUCAAAGGUAGUGGCGGACCCUCCCGGAGCCUCCUUUGCGUAGUAACUUUACGUCUCGCACUGGGAUCCGGAGGGACUCUUGCCGUAAAACCCCCCAAUUUUCCAAAGGUUGACCUCGGAUCAGGUAGGAAUACCCGCUGAACUUAAGCAUAUCAAUAAGCGGAGGAA